UGUUUCAAUGUUGGAACUAUG
rnacentral:piRNA from 1 species